CGGCGUCUAAUACCGGAUAUGAGCUACGGCCGCAUGGUCGGUAGUUGGAAAGAAUUUCGGUCAGGGAUGAGCUCGCGGCCUAUCAGCUUGUUGGUGAGGUAAUGGCUCACCAAGGCGUCGACGGGUAGCCGGCCUGAGAGGGUGACCGGCCACACUGGGACUGAGACACGGCCCAGACUCCUACGGGAGGCAGCAGUGGGGAAUAUUGCACAAUGGGCGCAAGCCUGAUGCAGCAACGCCGCGUGAGGGAUGACGGCCUUCGGGUUGUAAACCUCUUUUAGCGAGGAAGAAGCGAAAGUGACGGUACUCGCAGAAAAAGCGCCGGCUAACUACGUGCCAGCAGCCGCGGUAAUACGUAGGGCGCAAGCGUUAUCCGGAAUUAUUGGGCGUAAAGAGCUCGUAGGCGGUUUGUCGCGUCUGCUGUGAAAACUGGAGGCUCAACCUCCAGCCUGCAGUGGGUACGGGCAGACUAGAGUGCGGUAGGGGAGAUUGGAAUUCCUGGUGUAGCGGUGGAAUGCGCAGAUAUCAGGAGGAACACCGAUGGCGAAGGCAGAUCUCUGGGCCGUAACUGACGCUG
rnacentral:rRNA from 1 species